rnacentral:rRNA from 1 species
CGAACGCUGGCGGCGCGCCUAACACAUGCAAGUCGAACGAGCGAGAGAGAGUUUACUUUUUCGAGCGAGUGGCGAACGGGUGAGUAACGCGUGAGGAACCUGCCUCAAAGAGGGGGACAACAGUUGGAAACGACUGCUAAUACCGCAUAAGCCCACGACCCGGCAUCGGGUAGAGGGAAAAGGAGCAAUCCGCUUUGAGAUGGCCUCGCGUCCGAUUAGCUAGUUGGUGAGGUAAUGGCCCACCAAGGCGACGAUCGGUAGCCGGACUGAGAGGUUGAACGGCACAUUGGGACUGAGACACGGCCCAGACUCCUACGGGAGGCAGCAGUGGGGAAUAUUGCACAAUGGGGGAAACCCUGAUGCAGCGACGCCGCGUGGAGGAAGAAGGUCUUCGGAUUGUAAACUCCUGUUGUUGAGGAAGAUAAUGACGGUACUCAACAAGGAAGUGACGGCUAACUACGUGCCAGCAGCCGCGGUAAAACGUAGGUCACAAGCGUUGUCCGGAAUUACUGGGUGUAAAGGGAGCGCAGGCGGGAAGACAAGUUGGAAGUGAAAUCCAUGGGCUCAACCCAUGAACUGCUUUCAAAACUGUUUUUCUUGAGUAGUGCAGAGGUAGGCGGAAUUCCCGGUGUAGCGGUGGAAUGCGUAGAUAUCGGGAGGAACACCAGUGGCGAAGGCGGCCUACUGGGCACCAACUGACGCUGAGGCUCGAAAGUGUGGGUAGCAAACAGG